rnacentral:rRNA from 1 species
AAUGAACGCUGGCGGCAUGCCUAACACAUGCAAGUCGAACGAAGCCUUCGGGCUUAGUGGCGCACGGGUGCGUAACGCGUGGGAAUCUACCCUUGGGUUCGGAAUAACAGUUAGAAAUGACUGCUAAUACCGGAUGAUGACGUAAGUCCAAAGAUUUAUCGCCCAGGGAUGAGCCCGCGUAGGAUUAGCUAGUUGGUGAGGUAAAAGCUCACCAAGGCGACGAUCCUUAGCUGGUCUGAGAGGAUGAUCAGCCACACUGGGACUGAGACACGGCCCAGACUCCUACGGGAGGCAGCAGUGGGGAAUAUUGGACAAUGGGCGAAAGCCUGAUCCAGCAAUGCCGCGUGAGUGAUGAAGGCCUUAGGGUUGUAAAGCUCUUUUACCCGGGGAUGAUAAUGACAGUACCGGGAGAAUAAGCUCCGGCUAACUCCGUGCCAGCCG